CCCACGCUCACCACAGCAGAGGAGCUGGCACUGCGCCUAACAUGAAGGCCGCCCUGGACGUCAGGGGACUGACCAGACUUCAGCCACCAACAGACACACCAAAAGGGAAGAGCUUCUCCCCGCUGGUGACUGUGCUGACCAGACUCCCUGCCGAGGUCGGUGACCACGAAGGAAUGCGGGAGACGCAGUGAACCCCUUCACGAGCUUCCUUAGCAGAGCUGUGGAGUGUGACAAUGGUGUUUGUGUCCAAGCUCUCAAACGCCAUUAUCACACUAAAUAGCUACUGUUAGGCCAUCCUUCCACUUGCUGGCGCUGGGGUCACGGGGGCAAGAAGGUUUGUCUUGUAGCAGGGCUCCCAGACAUGUGUAAUGACUGAGUAAAUACCUCAGGGUUUCUGCACUAGGAAGUGAAGUCAGUUGCCCUUGGCAUCGCUUCAGAUGCUGUUAAAUUCUCUCCCUGCAGGGCUGGAGCAAUAGCACAGCAGGUAGAGCAUUUGCCUUGCACCUGGCCAACCCAGGUUCGAUUCCCAGCAUCGCAUAUGGUCCCCGGAGCACCGCCAGGAGUAAUUCCUGAGUGCAUGAGCCAGGAGUAACCGCUGUGCAAAGCCGGGUGUGACCCAAGAAGGAAAAAAAAAGAAAAAAUAAUUCCCUCCCCGCUGAGUGGAUUUCUCGCUUUCCUGCGUCAACAGGAAGAUGGCUCUGCGCGCCCAGGAGCACCGAGCACAAAUCUGGGCCCCUACUCUCCAGGGGGGCUCCUGCUUAUUGAGCUGAAAUGCAAGAGUGGGAAAGUCUGAGAAGCCCCAAAACCCAAACCAACCAAAAUCUAGGUCAGGCAGACAGCAGGCUUCUGAGUGCAAAAUUAAAAGGGAGUCACGGUUCGUUAAAAAAAUAAUAAUUCUAAUAAACUGACACAUGGCUUAAGUGA